GAGGGGGUGCCAUGGCGGCGGCGGCGCUUUCCUCUUCGAGUGCGGCAGGGGCCAAUAGGCCUCGGGGAAGCCACGAUGGGUGCGGGGAAGCACGGUGGGGGCAGAUCCGGUGGUCCGGGAGGCAAAGAGGAAGAGCGGCAGCAGUCGGCAGAGCACUACAUCGGCGCAGGUUGGACGCGGCAGCCGGCAGAGAUCUGGCAACAGCCGCUGCUGCUCGUCGGGGCAUGGAACGGCGGCGGGGAGUUGUGCGGGGGCGAGGUGGAGCGACCGACAGCGCGGGGGCAGCGGCGGCGCGGUCGGGCCGCCGGAAUAGUGUCGGCGCUGACCGGUCGGGAGGUCGGGCGGGGCUGAAACUUCCGAUUUCUUGGCAGUUGGGUUCCCACGUGGAUAUGGGUACCUAUCCAUAUUCUAGUAGCAGGUUUUUUAUUGUCAAUUUUUGGGUAUUCUAGACAAAUAUGGGUAUGAUGUUGGAGAUACUCUAAGCACUAUGAUUGUACCAAGCAAAGCAGUGUGAUGGUAUCGUCUCUUUGUCUUUAUUACCAACCAAACGGCCAGUUCUUGUUGGCUUCCUGGGCUGGCUUCUCCAAGAAGCUGGCCUCCCCUAGCUUUUUGGAGAAGCCGCCACCUAAAUUUGAUUAGACUACUAAACUAUUUUGGCCUAAACUAUUUUGAAAGUCUAGCUAAAUUUGUGAUGCAGCUUCUUCACGAAGCUAGGUGAGGGCAGCUUUUAGGAGAAACCGGUCCUAGAAGCCGAAAAAAACGCAGCAAAAGCACUGUGAUUGUACCGUGCAUGCUGAUGUUCAUAGUUACGUACUAGUGCUUGUUGAUCCCUCACUAUAACUAUCUAAUUCUGUUACUUGCUUCGAUUUGACAUCAUUCUGUUCUAUUUGUUGGUUGAAGAGCUAAGAGUCCUAAGUAAAUGAAAACUAAUCGUGUGCACGCCAUGAAAAUCGCAAAGGUAGCCUUGGGUUACCACAACAGAAAGAUGAUGAUCAAGUUUGAGCUCCUGGAUUUCGACCCUCCUAUUCACGUGCCUUCUAAACUGUAUCCUUACAGGCACAUCAACUUCACCGCAUGAUCUAGCAAGGAGGGUUCGCGGGAAAAUAUUUUUUUUGCCGAGCUGCAGUUGUGUUCCAAAAGGAAGACUCCAAGUGGUUUCUCUGUCCUCUACUGUGAGCCAUUGAGACUACUGAUGGUAUCGGCGCAUAUGUCGUAUACUCAUAUCGUUUUGGCCAUCUUCUGAAUAAGUUUUUGCUAUUUGUGUUUCAAUUGGACGUGAGGGUAUGGACAACCCUUAGUGCGCCCCGACGGAGAGUAAGAAUGUUGACUCCGAUUACUGCUAUGCAUGUGGCCCGUACACCUUUCAUCCCAAAGGUACAAAAUAUGUUGCCGGGCAUUAUACGUUUCCAUAUUUACGAUCGUGCUUGUGGCAUU